UUUCCGUUGGUGAACCAGCGGAAGGAUCAUUACCGAGUUAUUGUACUCCCAAACCCCUGUGAACUUAUACCUUUACUGUUGCUUCGGUGGGUUAACGCCCCGGAAGGCCCAAAAAGCCGCCUGAACCGGGCGCCCGCCUGGGGACCCAAACUCGUGUAUUUCUUACCUUUGUUGUCUGAGUGUAAUAAUAAACAAAUGAAUCAAAACUUUCAACAACGGAUCUCUUGGUUCUG
rnacentral:misc_RNA from 1 species